rnacentral:rRNA from 1 species
CCCCUAGACGUUCUGGGCUGCACGCGCGCUACAAUAAUACGCACAGCGAGUAUCACCGAGCUCGAAAGGGCAAGGUAAACAAUAGAAAAGGUACUGUAAUGGUUAUAGAUCCUUGUAAUUAUUGAUCUUCAACGAGGAAUUCCUAGUAAGUAUGUGUCAUCAUCACGCACUGAUUACGUCCCUGCCCUUUGUACACACCGCCCGUCGCUCCUACCGAUUGGGUGAGCCGAUGAAACUCUCGGAUGUAGGCUAUUCAUAGCCCGCAGAAGAGAUUUGAAUCGUAGCGCUUAGAGGAAGGGGAAGUCGUAACA